AUUGAACGCUGGCGGCAUGCUUUACACAUGCAAGUCGAACGGUAACAGGCCGCAAGGUGCUGACGAGUGGCGAACGGGUGAGUAAUGCAUCGGAACGUGCCCAGUCGUGGGGGAUAACUACUCGAAAGAGUAGCUAAUACCGCAUAUGAUCUAUGGAUGAAAGCGGGGGACCGUAAGGCCUCGCGCGAUUGGAGCGGCCGAUGUCAGAUUAGGUAGUUGGUGGGGUAAAGGCUCACCAAGCCAACGAUCUGUAGCUGGUCUGAGAGGACAACCAGCCACACUGGGACUGAGACACGGCCCAGACUCCUACGGGAGGCAGCAGUGGGGAAUUUUGGACAAUGGGCGCAAGCCUGAUCCAGCAAUGCCGCGUGCAGGAAGAAGGCCUUCGGGUUGUAAACUGCUUUUGUACGGAACGAAACGGCUCUGGUUAAUACCCGGGGCUAAUGACGGUACCGUAAGAAUAAGCACCGGCUAACUACGUG
rnacentral:rRNA from 1 species